GAGACCAGCUGGGAGGCUGUUGCAGUAGUCAGAUUUCUUGAGUAUGGGAUGUGGGAGAAGAAGGAGGAGUCAAGGUUGACUUCAAGGUUUUUGACUUCAGCAGUUGGAACGAUGGAGCUGCCAUCAACAGAGAUGGGCAAGAUUGGAGGAGAACCAGGCCAAAGUCCCAACUGAAGUUCAGCAUGGAAACUGGAGGGAUUAAUGAAGCCAUUUACUGAGCGCUAUAACCUCAUCCUGACUUCCUUGAAGAUAGCAACUUGAGGUCUCCGGAUGCUGCCUGUCAUUACCAGGAACUCCACAGCUUUCUCUUUAAUGUUCCUUGCUUAUGUUGCAGAGGAUUUAACAAAACACCU
rnacentral:lncRNA from 1 species